CAUUCAUUAAAGUCUCUCUCUCUCUCUCUCUCUCUCUUUCUGUAGCCUUUUUCUCCAGAGCCGAUGAUAAACGACGGCGGAUUUCACCGGAACUGAGGGAAGAUAGUUGCCUAUGGCGGAGGAAGAUGUUUCGAGCAAUUUCCGAGUCUUGGUGGAGAACGCUGACCGGAAGUACGCCAGAGUUCGUGACCUCCCGGCGUUUGGACGAGCGCAGAGUCACUACUUCCACAAGGUUUUCAAGGCCUAUAUGAAACUCUGGAAUUUUCAGCAGUCGCACAGGUCGAAGCUGGUUGAAUCCGGUCUAAACCGGUGGGAAAUCGGCGAGAUCGCGAGCCGGAUUGGGCAGCUUUACUUCAGCCAGUACAUGAGGACCAGCGAGGCUCGCUUUCUCCUCGAGGCUUAUGUGUUCUACGAUGCGAUUCUGAGGCGGAGGUACUUCGAGGAAGCUCAUGGGAAGGAUCUCGGUGCUCGAUCCAAGGAGCUACGUUUCUACGCCAGGUUUCUGCUCGUCUCGUUGAUUGUCGAUCGGAAAGAAGUGGUUAUGCACUUAUCCGAGAAGCUUAGGGGUUUGGUGGAUGAAAGCAAGUCCAAUUUCAGGGAGACAAAUUUCAAGGAGUGGAAGCUGGUUGUGCAAGAAAUCACUCGAUUUAUAAAUUCUGACACAAACUUAACUUAUGCCAGGCCUCUUCGUUACUGCGCAACGCUUGAUUACUAUCCAGCUUCUCAAACAUACCUAGCACGUUUCCACGCUAAGAAAUUGUUCAAGUUUCGUGAUGCUCUCUUGGCAAGCUAUCACCGUAACGAGGUGAAAUAUGCUGAAGUCACGUUGGAUACAUAUAGAAUGAUGCAGUGUUUAGAAUGGGAGCCUAGUGGAUCUUUUUACCAAAAACGCCCUGUUGAAACCAAGGAGAAUGGUUUUGUAGUUGAUCAUACACUUACUUCUGGGCUUAUAGAUAUGAAAUUGGCUGCUGAUAUGGCUGAUCCAUCACUACCUCCCAAUCCUAGGAAAGCAAUUCUUUAUCGUCCCACUGUCUCCCACUUGCUAGCGGUCUUGGCAAUGAUUUGUGAUGAGCUCUCUCCAGAGAGUGUGCUGCUAAUAUAUUUGUCAGCUUCAGGUGGUCCUGCUCGUGACAAUGUUGCCCAACCUGAGAACUCUGUCGGUUCAAGCAGAACAUCAAAAAGCAAGCUGCUUGCCCGAGCUUCCCAAGAGCAGAAAAGCUACAAGUCAGAACCUCACAGCAAUGGACAAAAAUUGUCUGGUGAUUACUAUGAUGAUCAUCUCUGGUUAGGUCCUAGAGGAGGUUCUGGUUUAAACAACCUUUACCCUGGUGAUCUAAUCCCUUUUACACGGAAACCGCUUUUCUUGAUCAUUGAUAGCGACACUAGCCGUGCAUUCAAGGCAGGUUUUGAAUGGCGCAGAGAGAGGCGAGCCUGUUGCUCUACUUCUUUCUCCUCUGAAGCCAUCUUUGGAGAACCCAUCUGCAGAUGAUACAUUAGCGCUAAACGGAAGUCAGUUUACUUUCUUCUUGACAGCUCCUUUACAAGCAUUCUGCCAAAUGCUGGGCCUCUCAAACUCAGAUGCCGACCCUGAGGUUUACGAUGAAGCAGAGAGCAUACUAUCUGCUUCCUUCUCUGAGUGGGAAACGAUCCUUUUGACUUCCAGAGUAUUGAAUCUCGUCUGGGCACAGGUCUUGCCCGAUCCAUUCUUGAGACGGCUGAUUCUCAGAUUCAUAUUUUGCCGGUGUGUACUCACAUCCUUGAGCCGCACAGAGGAUAAUGACCCGUAUUUACCUCAAUGCCACCCGAAUCUCCCAGACUCGGUCUCACCGGUAUCUAAACCGGUGCAGUCCUGUGUACAACGACUAGCUGAUCACUUGGGUGUUGCCAAAUCUUUCCACUUGAACAAGGCAUAAGAUUAGAAAAAAAACACAUGAGCCGAGGGUGAAUUAGGUUGUUUGUUCAUUUCUAUAGAAGAGUCUGUAUUUUUUUAGGUUAUAAAGAAAAUGUAAUUUGGGGAUUAUAUAUCUGUUAUGAUUUUGAUGAUUCUUUAGUUUUGUCCUUUGUAAAAGAUUAGAACCAGCCAGGUAAUAAUUUUUAGUCUCUCUCUCUCUUGUUAGGAGAAUUGUUUGUUUUGUGUAUGAUGAGAAGAACAAAUCUGUGCAUUGCAUAAAGAAAGUGUGACUACUUUGUUC